GCCGCCGAAAGAUUCCGAACUUGCCCGAAUGUGGGCGAAAAAAAAACUCUGGCAGUAUAGUCGCCGCACGGUAAGUUCAUACUUUUAGGAAGCCCUGCUUCAAGCUGGGAUCUAUUUUCAAGGUGACUAUGUAUCCUUCCGCCAAAUAUCAACAAUAACAUUGCCAUGUGGAAAACCAUGUGACUACCACAUGGCAAUGUUUUGGUUGGGUAACUGUCAAAUAGGGAUGUAAUUAAUGGAUAAUAAAAUUACACUGCAAUUUUUAUAAUUGGUUAAAUGUCAGUAGAAAAUGUCAUAACACCAUGUUUAAUAAUUCAAAUAUUAAAUAUAAAAAAAUCUAAGCAAAUUUUUAUAGUUUAGAGUUUAAACCCAGCGUGGUGCUGUGUCUUCACAUAAUAUCCAUAAAAAUUGAUGUUAAGUUUUACAAAAGAAAUUUUGCUGCUUCGAGAUUACUAUAUCACAAAGUGCUAUGGUUGAAAGCAUGAAAGUUAUGUCAGUAUCAUUUAUGAAGAAUUCAACUUUAAGAAAUUAUUCAGUAUGAGGUAGUUAUGUAAACUGUUAUUUUCCUAAAGCCGUGAGUGCCAGGCACAUCACUGCCAUUACAUCGAGAGGUCAUUUGUGAAUAGAAAAUAACAAGUUAGUAACACUUUUCUGGCACUACGAACCGAGUCAAGUAUCGGUUAAAGGUUAUGGCUAACCAACAUGUGUUUUGUAAUUAGAGGCAUUAUUUUCUAUCAAGCAGAAUAAAUUUUAAAUUCAAAUUCUAAGUUAUACAUUAAACAUUUCUGUAAGUGUGUAUUUUUAUGUGUCUAUGUGGUUUGUCUCAUAUAAAAACUAUAUCACUUAAGUAUGUACAAUGCAGAAAAGAAAUUGUUGCCAUAAAAAACUUAACUUAAGAAUCUGUAAUAAAAUAAAUAUAUUAAAUAAAUCGAAACUCAGCAAUAAAUUAUCACUACCAUCAAUAUUAUGUUAUAUCCUGUAAUGAAACUAAUGUUUAAGAAUCACAUAUAAACACAGCAGAGAAAUUACAUAUCACUAAACACGUUAUCCAAAACACCUGUAAUUAAAAAGCAUACAUUAGCACAUUUACCCUGAGCAUAUAUUCAAAUGCUGUAUUUUUUUAUGGUUACAGGUGUUAACAAAAAGUCAUGACAACAACCUACGUAGAGUUGAAUUUCUACUCAAGUUUUUUAAAAUGCAUUCUAAUUAUUGACAAUUAUGUUUCCUAACCUAACCAAAAUUUACCAAACCUAAUUUCAUGUAAAUAAACCUCAUUUGGGUUGGGUUAGGUUACAUUAUGUUGGUUGAGGAUAGGUUAUGUUAGGUUAGUAUCUGUGUACAUGCCCUUACAUUUAAUAUGUUUUGCUUGUGGGACAUUACCUAAUAUAUAAACGAAAAUAUAAGAACGUGUCUGUUUGUAAUUUGCCCGACAUUCAAAACAAGAAAGCUGCGAGGAAGGUACUUUUACACUAUUUUACAAACACGCCCCAACCUAACGGAACGUUUUCACGCACAUACUUUCAUAACGUGUUAAUUAGUCACUCACUUUUUCACGGUCGUGACGCCCAGAUCUAGAAGAAAUGCUGUCAUUUCUGCGACAUCACCCUGUUCCAGUUGACCUGUAUUUAUUAACAUCGUAACUCUUCGUGCCACGUUGAUAAUAUCGUGCUGUCUCCUUCUUUACAUUCAUUUUAAUAACCUAACAAACCGUAAUAACUAACACAAAGUUACACUGUAAAAGCAAUAGUUCACUACAAGUUACAAUUAAGACAACCCUUUAAAAUUAGAAAAUUAAUUAGUACACAAAUACACGGGAUGUUUUCGGAAAAUCAGAAGUCGUUUUGAGCAAACAAAAACAAGCGUUCAACAUGGCUCGGGCCGACACACAGUUACGUAGGUGAUUCAUCCGCAACAGCUUGCAACGUCAUCUGUAAACAAAAUAACUUAACUUUCGUAUAUAUUAAACAAUAUUACUCCAGGAUCUGGAAGUAAACAUAUGUGAAACAUUUUCAGCAAUAUUUAUCGUUAUUUCAGCUGUUCAAAAUUACAUACUAAGGAACUAUUUCUUCAAGUGUGUAGCCAACAUACCGAUAAAUAUCGUUGCCACGCGUGUUUAAAAACUUACAUAUAAAAUUAACAAAUACAAAUUAUUUCAGUAUUCAUAUACACGUACGGAAACGUAAUAGCUUGAUAAAUUAUGUCGUCCUAUUUUGUUUAUUUAUUUGUCAAACAAAUUGCACAAUAGUAAACCAAAUAUUCUUAGUUCCAUUGUCAACAGUUCUUCCCAAAAGUACGAACUUACCGUGCGGCGACUAUAGUCUUGAAGUUGGCCACACUGGGCGACAGUAGCGAACUCUGUCGGAGGGGUCUGAGUUGAAAACAAUUGACUCGCGCACGGCGUCCAUAUAACUCAAGGAAGGGCAGGUGCUGCUCUCUGGCGCCUUAGAGGGUAGGCUAGCGGAGAAGUUCGCGACUUGGUCGCUAGGCAGCGCUUGUGCUCAGUUUUAGCGCGCACGUUUUUUUGGAGAGGCCUUGGGAACAGUCACUGGUGCCCAGGGGGUUACGACCGGUCAUUGGUCUUACUGGGAACGGAGAAAGGGGGGGGAGGGUUAAAGUGCAACGGCGCUGAGAACAAGCGUCCCGUCGUGGCUGCAGGGGAGCGAACAUAACACUAAUACGUGAUGAAAAAGGCCAAUCUCAGCUCGUCUCUGAGAACUGGUCGCCUGCAACCUACAGGCUUGUCUAUGCAGUUAGGGUCACGAAGAGAAAUGAUAUUACAGGCUUGAGGCGUGACUGAAGGCGGGGGAAACGGUAAGCUGUCUGCCAGUCAGAGAUUAGGCCAGCAAAAUAUCCGAUACGCCGAUGGGAAAGGGGCUUCAGAGCACUGAGACAAAGUUUAACUUAGAGGAGUACACCAGACUAACAAAUUAAAAUUACACUAUAGUAGAGCAAAUAAAAUUUCCACACAAAAAUU